rnacentral:rRNA from 1 species
UGAAUACGAGACGCUACGGCGUCGAAGCAGUCUAUGUCAUACUUCCAAGAAAAGCUCGCAAUGUCAUAAACAAAUAAUGCCUGUACCAUAACCGACACAGGUGGGUAGGUAGAGUAUACUAAGGGGCGCGAGAUAACUCUCUCUAAGGAACUCGCAAAAUGACUCCGUAACUUCGGGAGAAGGAGUGCCUUAUUUAUAAGGUUGCAAUAACAAGAUCCAAGCAACUGUUUAUCAAAAACACAGGUCUUCGCUAAGUCGUAAGACGAUGUAUGGGGGCUGACGCCUGCCCAGUGCCAGAAGGUUAAAGAAGUUGGUUAGCAUUCGCGAAGCUGAUAACUGAAGCCCUGGUGAACGGCGGCCGUAACGAUAACGGUCCUAAGGUAGCGAUAUUCCUUGUCGGGUAAGUUCCGACCCGCACGAAAGGCGUAAUGAUUUGGAUACUGUCUCGGAGAGGGGCUCGGUGAAGUAGACUUGUCUGUGAAGAUGCGGACUACCUGCACCUGGACAGAAAGACCCUAUGAAGCUUUACUGUAACUUGAAAUUGAAAUUGGACUUUAUUUGCGCAGCAUAGGUGGGAGGCGUUGAGAGUAUUCUUGCGGGAAUAUUGGAGCCAUCAGUGAGAUACCACUCUUGUAAUGUUAGAUUUCUAACUUUGUAUCAUUAUCUGGUCAAAGAACAGUUUCAGGCGGGCAGUUUGACUGGGGCGGUCGCCUCCCAAACGGUAACGGAGGCGUACAAAGGUUUCCUCUGAACGGGUAGAAAUCGUAUCUAGAGUGUAAAGGCAUAAGGAAGCUUGACUGUGAGACCUACAAGUCGAGCAGGGACGAAAGUCGGUCUUAGUGAUCUGACGGUGCUGAGUGGAAAGGCCGUCACUCAACGGAUAAAAGUUACUCUAGGAUAACAGGCUGAUCUCCCCCAAGAGUUCACAUCGACGGGGAGGUUUGGCACCUCGAUGUCGGCUCAUCGCAUCCUGGGGCGGUAGUACGUCCCAAGGGUUGGGCUGUUCGCCCAUGAAAGCGGUACGCGAGCUGGGUUCAGAACGUCGUGAGACAGUUCGGUCCAUAUCCGGUGUAGGCGUUAGAAUAUUGAGAGGAGCCUUCUUUAGUACGAGAGGACCGAGAAGGACAUACCUCUGGUGUACCAGUUAUCGUGCCAACGGUAAACGCUGGGUAGCUAUGUAUGGAGAGGAUAACCGCUGAAAGCAUCUAAGUGGGAAGCCCACCUCAAGAUAAGUAUUCUC